AUUGAACGCUGGCGGCAGGCCUAACACAUGCAAGUCGAGCGGAUGAAGGGAGCUUGCUCCUGGAUUCAGCGGCGGACGGGUGAGUAAUGCCUAGGAAUCUGCCUGGUAGUGGGGGAUAACGUCCGGAAACGGGCGCUAAUACCGCAUACGUCCUGAGGGAGAAAGUGGGGGAUCUUCGGACCUCACGCUAUCAGAUGAGCCUAGGUCGGAUUAGCUAGUUGGUGGGGUAAAGGCCUACCAAGGCGACGAUCCGUAACUGGUCUGAGAGGAUGAUCAGUCACACUGGAACUGAGACGCGGUCCAGACUCCUACGGGAGGCAGCAGUGGGGAAUAUUGGACAAUGGGCGAAAGCCUGAUCCAGCCAUGCCGCGUGUGUGAAGAAGGUCUUCGGAUUGUAAAGCACUUUAAGUUGGGGGGAAGGGCAGUAAGUUAAUACCUUGCUGUUUUGACGUUACCAACAGAAUAAGCACCGGCUAACUUCGUG
rnacentral:rRNA from 1 species